UGUCCCAGGAGGGGUCCUGUGGGAUGCCCAGCUGAAAUUUGCCCAGGAGAUGAGUGUUUUCUCGGGGUGCUCCUGUGCCCAAGGGGUGCCAGGACAGGGCCCACACAGUCCCAGUCACUGCUGGUUCUCCUCCGUGUGCGUGGCAGGUACCUGUGGGAGCUUCAGGCCAAUGCCAACAUCUCCUUUCAGCCUCACAGAAUGGUUACAGGAUUGACCCUGACCAGAACCUGCUGGCUCUGGCUAAGAGCUGCUUGCUCAGGAGGGCAGGGGUGGGGCUCCAGCACUGCCAGGAGUCCCACAGCUCCUGGGCUGCCUGAGAUCCCCAUCUGGACAGUCCUGCCUCCACUGAACUUUCCCUUCCUUACCUCGAUUGUUCUCACAGCUCAAGGAUUUCCGGAGCAGGCUUGAGUUCACUCUUGCGUGGGUAGGCAUUGUCUCCAGCUCCGGGUAAGAAGGAAGGGACAACGUCAUGAAGGGAGCACACAGGAACACAAACACAGCAAUGCCUUCCCAGCCCUUCUCCUUUGUCUCCUCAGGCAUCACCAGUGUCCUGGGCUCCUUCGUCUCCUCACACUCCAUCACGGGCAGCUUUGGCUGGUGGGUAGCAGGAGGGGGUGCAGGGCACUCGCUGGGGCUGCGUGGUGAGGGAGCUCUGCAAGAUCCUGAGUGGAACACUGUGCUGUCCCCAGUGGGUCCCUGAGCUCGUGUCCUGGUCCCCAGCAGCCCACUGGUAUGUGUCCCAGUGGCCACCUUCCCUUCUGUGGAGGGCCACCUCCCUUCCUGCUGUGCAGUCCUGGAAGCCAGAGCUUGCUCGUGUUUCUCCCUGACAGGGCAGGACAGCAGUCAAUGCUCAGUCAGGGCUCUGCAUCCCCGCAGGAGGGCUCAUCACAGAGCUGCACCUUGUGCCCCUCUGUGUGACAUUCCUGCUCUGCUUCUGGGAGGUCCAGUAUGGAAUCAUGGCUGGGGUGCUGGUUUCUGGGGUUCUUC